UUAACAGUACCACAGUCUGAAGUCUUCUAUUUAUCCACAGAACAGAUACAGCAUGGGAAGCGGCCGUGCAAUGUCUCAGUUUGCCUAAACCCUGACCUGGAGGGACCACCACUAAGAAUAAGAGGUUAGUUCAGUGUCCACGUCCAUUCAAACUUGGUCUCU
ensembl:misc_RNA